CCUACGGCGGGCAGCAGUGAGGAAUAUUGGUCAAUGGGCGCGAGCCUGAACCAGCCAAGUCGCGUGAGGGAAGACGGUCCUAUGGAUUGUAAACCUCUUUUGUCGGGGAGCAAAAGACGCCACGCGUGGCGUUCCGCGAGUACCCGAAGAAAAAGCAUCGGCUAACUCCGUGCCAGCCGCCGCGGUAAUACGGGGGAUGCGAGCGUUAUCCGGAUUUAUUGGGAUUAAAGGGUGCGCAGGAGGUAGAUCAAGUCAGCGGUAAAAUUGAGGGGCUCAACCUCUUCGAGUCGUUGAAACUGGUUUACUUGAGUGAGUGAGAGGUAUGCGGAAUGCGUGGUGUAGCGGUGAACUGCAU
rnacentral:rRNA from 1 species